AUGGACGAAAGUCUGAUGGAGCAACGCCGCGUGAGUGAAGAAGGGUUUCGGCUCGUAAAACUCUGUUGUUAAAGAAGAACAUAUCUGAGAGUAACUGUUCAGGUAUUGACGGUAUUUAACCAGAAAGCCACGGCUAACUACGUGCCAGCAGCCGCGGUAAUACGUAGGUGGCAAGCGUUGUCCGGAUUUAUUGGGCGUAAAGCGAGCGCAGGCGGUUUUUUAAGUCUGAUGUGAAAGCCUUCGGCUCAACCGAAGAAGUGCAUCGGAAACUGGGAAACUUGAGUGCAGAAGAGGACAGUGGAACUCCAUGUGUAGCGGUGAAAUGCGUAGAUAUAUGGAAGAACACCAGUGGCGAAGGCGGCUGUCUGGUCUGUAACUGACGCUGAGGCUCGAAAGUAUGGGUAGCAAACAGGAUUAGAUACCCUGGUAGUCCAUACCGUAAACGAUGAAUGCUAAGUGUUGGAGGGUUUCCGCCCUUCAGUGCUGCAGCUAACGCAUUAAGCAUUCCGCCUGGGGAGUACGGCCGCAAGGCUGAAACUCAAAGGAAUUGACGGGGGCCCGCACAAGCGGUGGAGCAUGUGGUUUAAUUCGAAGCUACGCGAAGAACCUUACCAGGUCUUGACAUACUAUGCAAAUCUAAGAGAUUAGACGUUCCCUUCGGGGACAUGGAUACAGGUGGUGCAUGGUUGUCGUCAGCUCGUGUCGUGAGAUGUUGGGUUAAGUCCCGCAACGAGCGCAACCCUUAUUAUCAGUUGCCAGCAUUAAGUUGGGCACUCUGGUGAGACUGCCGGUGACAAACCGGAGGAAGGUGGGGAUGACGUCAAAUCAUCAUGCCCCUUAUGACCUGGGCUACACACGUGCUACAAUGGAUGGUACAACGAGUUGCGAACUCGCGAGAGUAAGCUAAUCUCUUAAAGCCAUUCUCAGUUCGGAUUGUAGGCUGCAACUCGCCUACA
rnacentral:rRNA from 2 species